rnacentral:rRNA from 1 species
ACGAACGCUGGCGGCGUGCUUAACACAUGCAAGUCGAACGGUGAAGCGCCUUCCUUUUUGGUGGGUGUGGAUGAGUGGCGAACGGGUGAGUAACACGUGAGUAACCUGCCCCCUUCUUCUGGAUAACCGCAUGAAAGUGUGGCUAAUACGGGAUAUUCUGGGUCUGUCGCAUGAUGGGUCUGGGAAAGAUAUUGUUUCGGUGGGGGAUGGGCUCGCGGCCUAUCAGCUUGUUGGUGGGGUGAUGGCCUACCAAGGCGGUGACGGGUAGCCGGCCUGAGAGGGUGGACGGUCACACUGGGACUGAGACACGGCCCAGACUCCUACGGGAGGCAGCAGGGGGGAAUAUUGCACAAUGGGCGCAAGCCUGAUGCAGCGACGCCGCGUGAGGGAUGGAGGCCUUCGGGUUGUGAACCUCUUUCGCCAGUGAAGCAGGCCUGCCUCGUUUGUGGGUGGGUUGACGGUAGCUGGAGAAGAAGCGCCGGCUAACUACGUG